AUCUGAAGGUGCCCUGCUUAUCUGCAGGCUCGUGCUGCCAUGAGUUCCUCAAUCACAGAGAGGCUCAUGUCGCUGGGAGCGAGGGCUCCUCACCCAGAAACCACGCAGAACUGGGUCCCCCAGCAGCCCUGUCAGUGAAGAAGCUGGGAAGCAAUCUUCCCUCUCUCAAUGAUGCAGAGUGGAGAAAUGUCUGGAGCAUCCAAUCAGUCAUUCUGAGUCCCAGUGGGGCCUUCCUGUCUAGGAUGCCAGUGGCUCUGCUUCAGGAACUGCUUGUGCUGUACUCUACCUGUAGCAAGUCUUCAUCCCCCUGAAAACAAUUAGAAGCUAUCGAGGAUGGUGAACACAGCAGAACCGGGGAUUGAACUCAGGACCUUGUGCUUGCCAGGCAGGUGCAGCACCACUGAGCUAAAUCACUGG
ensembl:lncRNA